rnacentral:lncRNA from 1 species
GGAAGGAAGGAGGCUGCAGGUCCACCGGGCCAGGGUUUGAAUCCUGGCUCUGUCACCGCCUGUGUGACUCUGGCAAGGUGUUCCACAGCUCUGUGUCUCUUACAGAGGGAUAACCACACCUCCUGCAUGGGAGUGAAGAGUCCAUCAGAAGUUUCAAGUAGAGGGCUCAGGGCCCUAUGAGUGCUGUGUGUAUAUGGUAGCUGUCUUUAAUCUGAAGAUGCUGGAGAAUGCUGAUGUCACUGCAUCGGUGGCCUGGCUGACCCUGUCCUCUGGCUUUAGCAAGCACAGGGCAUCAGAACCCUUCUGGGGACUAACUUCCUCCUGA